rnacentral:rRNA from 1 species
GUGUCAGCAGCCGCGGUAAGACGAGGGAUCCUAGCGUUGUUCGGAAUCAUUGGGCGUAAAGCGGGUGUAGGUGGCUUUGUAAGUCGAGUGUGAAAGCCUGGGGCUCAACCCCAGAAGUGCAUUCGAUACUGCGAAGCUUGAGUGGUAGAGAGGUUAGUAGAAUUGUUGGUGUAGUGGUGAAAUACGUAGAUAUCAACAGGAAUACCGGAGGCGAAGGCGGCUAACUGGCUACACACUGACACUCAGACCCGAAAGUGCGGGGAUCAAACAGGAUUAGAAACCCCCGUAGUCC